rnacentral:lncRNA from 1 species
AGGAGAGGCAGUAACUAAUUCUGUUAGGUAGGGGUGUGAGGUGGCCAAAAAUCUGUUACAAGGGCCUAUAAAUAGAAUAAGAUGGAGAGAUGAAGAUAGGAAGAAAUUCAGUGAGUGGGUCAGCUAGGGAGGGUCUCAGUCCUCUCAAUCGGUCAUUUGUUCUUUUCCUUUACAUUUCCUUGUAAUUCCAAUUCCAAAAAUCAAUUCAGCAUUUCCUUUCAUUUCCUGUGUUACUUCUCUUGUUUUCCCUGGCACUUGGUAAUUUCUUUUACAGAUUGGAAUCUAUCAAAUUGGUAUCAGAGCACCCUUCACCAUAAGCAUGACACUUGCAGAUCAAGUUGGGGAACUAGAACAGAAAGUAGAAGUCCAUCAUCAAGAGCUGCAGGCAGGUCUUGAGUCCAUGAGAUCUGAGUUCAAAGUAAUGCAUGCAGGGAUGCUGGAGAAAUUUGAAUUAUUAAUGAAAACAUGGGAUAAUCAGGAAAGGGGACGGAAGGAGAAAGGGAUGGCCUCCGAAAAAUCACCAACAGAAACUGCAGGUUCGGGAAUAUCUCAACUCCGGCAAGACCUUACUCAAGGUACUGGCGGAGGAACAGGAGGUGACUGGAGGGGGGAACGGCGAGUGCGACGAUUGGAGAUGCCCGUGUUUGACGGGGAUGAUCCGGAUGGAUGGGUUUUUUGGGUGGAAAGAUACUUCACCCUCAACCGGUUGACUGAAGAAGAGAAAGUCAAGGCAGCUGUGGUAUGCUUCGACGGCGAAGCCCUAGCCUGGUUCAAAUGGGAGGAGAAGCGUCGAGCUAUGAAUAGCUGGGAGGAGGUGAAGAUCCGGCUAUUGCGUCGAUUCCGCCCUUCGCAAGAGGGGUCCCUGUGUGCUCAGUUUUUAUCCCUAAGGCAACGCUCCACCGUUCGUGACUACCGCCGGCAAUUUGAGACGUUAGCUUCCCCGUUAGUGGAAAUAUCGGAGGAAGUGUUGACAUGCAGCUUCCUUAAUGGGUUAAACCCAGAUAUCCGGGCUGAGGUUCUGUUGUUAAGACCCUUGGGCCUGGAGCAGAUAAUGGAAGUGGCCCAAAUGGUGGAGGAUCGAAACAUGGUAACUAAACAAACCCACUGGAAUGCUGGACCUAUUAAACCAAAGAGUAUCCCCUUCCAUAACCCAAAUCCACCACAAUCAUCUUUCAAGAGCCCGACCCACACCCAUCACUCCCAAACACGCCCUACGGUUCCUCUGAACCUCCCCCUAAAUCGCCCAAAUUCUUUCCCCAAAUCAUCCAUACCCUACAAACGGCUAACCGACUCUGAAAUACAGGCCAAGAGGGAGAAAGGCCUCUGUUACCGUUGUGAUGACCGAUUUACCAUUGGCCAUAGGUGCAAGAAUAAGGAGCUACAAGUGUUGGUGAUUCGGGAAAUGGAACUCAACGACGAGGAACCCGACACCGCCAUGGCCAGCGAAGGUGAGCCCAACACCGGCGAGUCGGUUUAUGCUGUAGAAGUGACCCCCGGUUCGGGACAGCCUGUAGAGUUGUCGAUCAACUCAGUCGUGGGGCUGACCACCCCAGGUACUAUGAAGCUAAAAGGGAUGCUCGGCCAAAAGCAAGUGAUAGUUUUGGUUGACAAUGGUGCUUCCCACAAUUUUAUUUCAGCAGACCUAGUCCAACAAAUGGGAUUUCCAUUGACAGGCACCGGAAGCUAUGGGGUGGUCAUGGGGACGGGCUUAACAGUAAAAGGGGAUGGUAUAUGCCGACGAGUACCUCUGAAAUUGCCGGGGCUGUUGAUAGAAGAGGACUUCUUACCUCUUAAGCUGGGCAGCUCGGAUAUCAUUCUGGGAAUGCAAUGGUUGAGGACACUAGGCAAAAUGCAAGUGGACUGGGAUACUCUAACCAUGUCCUUUGACGUCGGGGGGAUCAAGGUAACCCUGCAGGGAGAUCCCAGCCUGAGUAAGAUGCCCGUUUCAUUGAAAUCGAUGUGGAAAGCUUUUAAGGAACAGGGGGAAGGGCUUCUACUGGAAUUGGGAAGCAUCACCGUCAGUCACCGGUCCGCCCCGCCCAGCCCCCCGAGGUUUUUUGCAGAGAUUCUGGAGGAGUUCACAGCAGUAUUCGAGGAAUUUACUCAACUGCCUCCUAAGAGACUCCAGGAUCAUGCAAUUAAUUUGAAACCAGGGGCGGGACCAGUAAGUGUAAGACCGUAUCGCUAUCCCCACUUCCAGAAAAACGAAAUAGAGCAGCUAGUUAAGGAGAUGUUAGCAGCUGGAAUCAUCCAACAUAGCACUAGUCCUUUUUCAAGUCCUGUGCUGUUAGUACGGAAGAAAGAUGGGAGUUGGAGAUUUUGUGUGGAUUAUAGAGCAUUUAACAAAGCCACCGUCCCAGACAAGUUCCCAAUCCCAGUCAUCGAUGAAUUGCUUGACGAAUUGAAUGGAGCUACGGUGUUCUCAAAAAUCGAUCUCAAAUCUGGUUAUCAUCAGAUACGGGUGAAGGCCGAGGAUGUCCCAAAAACAGCCUUCCGAACUCAUGAAGGCCAUUAUGAGUUUCUAGUCAUGCCCUUCGGCUUGACCAACGCACCAGCCACCUUUCAAUCAUUGAUGAACUCAAUUUUCAGAGAACAGCUCCGAAAGUAUGUGCUAGUAUUUUUUUACGACAUUCUUGUUUACAGCCGUACAAAGGAGGAACACCGAGAUCAUUUACGAAAGGUCCUGCAGACUCUAGUAGAGCACCAGCUCUUUGCUAACAAAAAGAAAUGCCUAUUUGGGUAAGAGGAGAUAGAGUAUCUUGGCCACAUUAUAUCAGCAAAGGGGGUGGCAGCAGAUGAAUCCAAGUUGUCAGCAAUGAGGAAUUGGCCACGUCCCCAGACACUUAAAGAAUUAAGGGAAUUCUUGGGGUUGACCGGAUAUUAUCGACGGUUUGUGGAGUCCUAUGGGAAGAUAGCCUGGCCGCUAGCUCAACUACUAAAGAAGGACUGUUUCAGGUGGAAUGACGCUGCAGAAUCGGCCUUCGCAAAACUGAAGGAGGCAAUGACAACUGUACCAGUCUUGGCUCUUCCAGAUUUCUCGCAGCCCUUUGUACUUGAGACUGAUGCUUCUGGACAUGGGAUAGGGGGCUGUCUUGAUGCAAAAUCAGAGACCAAUUGCCUAUUUCAGUCAGGUGCUACCCCAAAGAAGUCAGAAUAAAUCGAUAUAUGAGAGGGAGCUCAUGGCUAUCGUACUGGCAGUGCAAAAGUGGAGGCAUUAUUUGCUGGGAAGGCGUUUUGUGGUUAGAACAGACCAAAAAAGUCUUAAAUUCCUACUCGAACAGCUCUUAGUAAAUGUGGAAUAUCAGAAGUGGUUAUCUAAAUUGUUGGGUUUCGAUUUGGAUAUUGAAUACAAGCCAGGAUUGGAAAACAGAGCCGCAGAUGCCUUAUCCAGGAGGGGAACAUCAGCCACACUGAUGGCCCUUAGUAUACCGAACACAAUACAAUUAGAGGAGGUGAUAAAAGUGAAGGAAGAAGAUCCUGAACUAAGCCGAAUCAUAUCAGCCCUAAGGGUGGACCCUUCUUCCUGUCCUGGAUUUGCUAUAGUAAGAGGGGCUUUGCUGUAUAAGGACAGGAUCACCCUACCUAAAGGUUCUCCCAUUAUUUCGUUAGCAUUACAAGAAGGCCAUGAUAGUAAAAUGGGCGGCCAUGGGGGAUUCAUUAAGACUUACAAGAGGAUAGUCGGGACUUUUUAUUGGAAAGGUAUGAAGAAGGAUAUUAGAAACUAUGUGGCUGCUUGCGAAGUUUGUCAACAGCACAAGUACUCCACGUUAGCACCUGCAGGACUGCUACAACCUCUACCUAUACCACAGAAGGUAUGGGAGGACAUCUCCAUGGAUUUCAUAGAAGGGUUACCAAAGUCUGAGGGGAUCGAUUCAAUACUGGUAGUGGUCGACCGCCUAAGCAAAUAUGGCCACUUCAUUGGCUUAAAACAUCCUUUCACAGCUCCGACCGUGGCUGCCAUGUUCAUCAAAGAGGUGGUUCGCUUGCAUGGGACACCAAACUCAAUCAUAACUGACAGGGAUAAGGUAUUUAUGAGCAAAUUUUGGAGUGAGUUAUUCCGUUUACAGGGGACUAAAUUGAAGUUUAGUUCAGCCUAUCAUCCCCAAACUGAUGACCAAACAGAGGUGGUGAAUAGAGGGAUAGAGACAUACCUACGGUGUUUUACUUCAGCUCGGCCGAAAAAGUGGUUCCGUUUCCUGCCAUGGGCGGAGCUAUCUUACAACACAUCAUUUCAUGUGUCUGCACAACUCACCCCAUUCCACAUAGUUUAUGGACGAGAGCCUCCGCCUCUAAUACGGUUUGAAAAGGGGUCGACACCUGUAUCAUCAUUGGAUCAGCAAUUGGCAGAAAGGGAUAGACUUUUGGAUGAGCUAAAGCUGCAUUUGAGCCAGGCACAGCAACAGAUGAAAAGUUCAGCUGAUAGACAUAGGAGGGAGGUGGAGUUCUCAGCUGGUGAUAAGGUCUACUUGAAAAUGCGACCCUAUCGCCGCAAAUCAUUGGCACAACGCAGCAACGAGAAACUUGCACCACGGUACUAUGGGCCGUUUGAGAUUUUAGCUAAAGUGGGGAAAGUUGCUUACAGGUUGGAGCUGCCACCUGGUACCCGUAUUCAUCCUGUAUUUCAUGUUUCGCAAUUGCAAAGGGCGGUAGGAGAACAUCAUCUGCCUUCUAUGUUGCCUGAUAAUUUGGGAGUGGACUGGGAGUUAAUGGUUGAACCAGAAACUGUGUUGGGAGUCAGGACUGCUUCGUUGGGGACAGCAGACUGCUUGGAAGUGUUAAUUCAGUGGAAGGGCCUAUCUCCAUUGGAAGCUACUUGGGAGCCAUUCAGCCUCAUUGAUCAACAAUUUCCGGCCUUUCACCUUGUGGACAAGGUGACUGAAUUGGGCGGGGUAGUUGAUAAGCCUCCAAUUCAGUAUACAUAUUCUAGAAGGAACAAGAGGAGAGGCAGUAACUAAUUCUGUUAGGUAGGGGUGUGAGGUGGCCAAAAAUCUGUUACAAGGGCCUAUAAAUAGAAUAAGAUGGAGAGAUGAAGAUAGGAAGAAAUUCAGUGAGUAGGUCAAUUAGGGAGAGUCUCAGUCCUCUCAAUCGGUCAUUUGUUCUUUUCCUUUACAUUUCCUUGUAAUUCCAAUUCCAGAAAUCAAUUCA